rnacentral:misc_RNA from 1 species
AGAAAUUUAAGAGAUACCCAAAAUAAAAUUAAAAAAAAAUCACAUCAAAGAAUACAAAACAUAUUCAAGCAUCAAAAUCCCAUAAAUUGAAACUUCAAAUCAAUGAAUCCAACAUCCAAAAUCAAUAAAUAAAUAUUCAACAAAUCCAAAAUCAAAUAUCAACCGUUGAAACCCAAAAUUCAACAAAAAUUAGUGAAUUCGGAAAAGGACAAAUUGCAAUGAUAAAAAAUCUUACGGUGCUUCUUUUUUUCAAAAAAAGGAGAUUAAAUGAGUAGAUGAGAGAUUGUGAGAGAGCUAUGGGCUUCUUGAUUCUUGGUGUUUUUUGAGUAUUGGAAUUAAAGUGUAUGGGUAAUUGGUGAGUAUUUGAUGCUUCCCAUUUUAAAGGUUUAGGAAUAGCCGAAAGCCAAAAAAAAUUUUUCUUUCUACUUUGGCAUGGUGUUUUGUGGAUGAGGCAAAGAAUAUUAAAGAAGAAGGAGAAGAAGAAAGGUGAGGGUGGGUGAAUUUGCCUAAAACGAGAGAGGCAUGGAAGAUAAAGAAGAAAAAGGGAAAAAUAAGGAAUAGGGUUAUGAAUAAAGGGUAAUGUGGUAAUUU